UUUAGAGAGACAAGAGUAUCCGCUCAGCUUUGGCCAAUGGUGUGUCACUCUUGAAGUCAGCUGGAACUGGCUCUUUUGUAACAUGGAGCAGCUGCUGGGCUUUGUUCACAAAGGCCACCCCUGCAACUCUCCCAGAUAUUAGCAAACUCCUCAAAAUUUGCAGGAGCCUAGCAUAACAGUCCAGUCCUGCUUUGAAGUCCUGGAGAAUUUAUUAUAAACAUAGAUUUCUAGGCCAAAGAACUACUUUAAAAGAUCAAGAAGGAAAUUAUGAAUGAAAUUGUGCUCCAGCAGGUCCAUGUCUCUCCUGUACUGCGGGCUUCACAUCAGGACACAGUACUCCAGGUGAGGUCUCACUAUUGCACAGUAUAGGAGCAAGUUCAACUCACUUGUCUGUUUGAUGCAACCCAGGAUAUGAUUGACUGCCUGGGCUGUGAGGGUACAUUGCUGGCUCAUAUCCAGCACAUUAUCCAUUAUCACCAGGGCUUUAUUGGCAGGGCUGACCUCCACCUUUACAUCCUGUAGCUUGUAUUGAUAGCAGGGGGUGCCAUGACCCAGGUACAAGACCCUGCACUUGGCUUUGUUGAACCUCAUGAUGUUCUUCUGGACCCACUGAUUGAGCCUGUCUAGGCCUCUCUGGAUGUCAUCCUGUCCUGAUCUGUGUCUAUUGCACCACACAGCUUGGUGUCGCAUGCAAACUUGCUGAGGAUGUAUUCGAUCUUACUGUCAACGUAACUGAUGAAGACAAUAAAGAGCAUCAGUCACAGUAAUGAUUCCUGAGAGAGACCACUCACCACCAAUCUCCAUCUAGACAUUGAGCUACUGACCAUCAUUCUCUGGGUACAAUCUUCAAACCAAUUCCUCGUUUAUUGAACAGUCCACAUAUUAAAUCCAUAUCUUUCCAAUUUGGAGAGAAGGAUGAUUUGUAGGACCCCAUUGAAGGCCUUACAAUAGUCCAAAUAAAUUAUAUCAAUGGCUUUUCCCUUGCCCAUUGGUGCAGUUAUACCAUCAACUUAUGCACUGGUACAGUUAUACCUUUCUAUUUCUUCUUUGUACAAUAUUGACAAGCAGUUUGUUACUGGUGUUUAUGUUCUGAGAUAAGCUUCCGGGAAUACAAGGCCUGGGUUUGUAGGCAUGGUUUUUAUCAUUCUUGUAAAAAGACAUCUCCUAAAUUUGGAGUAGAUGUCUAUUCUAAUCUUAUGGAAUGAAACACUAUAAAACACUGCAAAAAUUCAGUGGAAUAAAUCAUUAUUUCUCCCAGGUGUUUUGCAAGCAUUUUCAGGUUCUUUAAAAGCUUUAAAAUUUUUUGAAAGAUACUUUAGAUUUAAAGACACUGAUGAAUAUGUAGAAAAUAAUCACCAGAAAAAUCACCACAAAUCCAGCUUAAGUCCCAUUAUAUCAGUCCCACUAUGUAAUUCAAUCAGUAUUUGUUACCUGAUUAAAAUAUUUACAUAACUCCUGCAGUUAUGCAUCAUGAGAAGCAAAUAAGCCUGAGAGAAAAGACUAAAAUUACUGUCAAUGUGACAGUUCUUCCAUCUCUCACCUGUCCAUUACCUUUUAUUGCAUUGUCAUUCCCCUAAACUAUUCUCUCUGAAAUAAAAAAUGGCAGGUCUAAAUUUUCCACAUUCAAAUGUAUCUGUGUAAGCAGAAAAUAUGGAACUGAUGAAGGCAUAAACUUGCAAGCAGACAAAUCUGUAAAUGGGAAAAAAAAAAAAAAAAAGGAGGGAAAAAAUAAAAAGAAAAUUAAAAAAUUACUUAAGGUGUCUGAAUUCUAGCCUAACAAAUGAGAGAACAUUAUCUUCUAAGGCAGUCUAAAACAAAAGCAUGUUAAAGAACAACAUGUAGUAAAGAUUACAGCUUAAUAAUGUUUAUUCAUACGGGAUAAGUUGUUAUGGGAUCAUGAGGUCUUUUGUUAUGCUGUGCUUUGCAUAUGCAUGAAAAGUAACUGCUUUCCUGCUGAGAACAGAAGAUCUUCAUAGUUUUGGGUACCAAGGAUUACUUCCUUAAAAUCAGCCAAGCAAAAUUAACUACACAUUAAUUUAAUAAUAUUUUCAUAUACUUAUUUAAUUUAAGGCAGUAAGAGUCAUCUUGAAUACUGGGUGACAAAUAGCUUUCCUUUUCUUCCCAGGUAUAAACAAAUACUGAUAAGAAAUUCUGCUUUUCUUCAAAGAGCUUUAGGUAUUUCAAUUUUACUUUGGUGCCU
ensembl:lncRNA